rnacentral:rRNA from 1 species
UACAGAGGGGCAAGCGUUGUUCGGAAUUACUGGGCGUAAAGGGCGCGUAGGUGGCCUUCUAAGUUGAACGUGAAAUCCCUGGGCUCAACCCAGGAACUGCGUCCAAGACUGGGAGGCUUGAAUCCGGGAGAGGGAUGCGGAAUUCCAGGUGUAGCGGUGAAAUGCGUAGAUAUCAGGAGGAACACCUGUGGUGUAGACAGCUUACUGGACCACUUCUGACGCUGAGACACGAAAGCGUGGGUAGCAAACAGG